CGGAAUUCAAUUCAAAGUCUCCUUGUGGUCAUAUCGGAGCCGUCGCAGGCAAAACCCGAUAGAGCCGUCGCAGGCAAGACCCUAAAACCUCUCUAAUGACCCCCUUUCCGUUUUCCGUUUCACACGAUUAUUUAACAUCGUGUUCACCGUCUCUUUCUGGUACAGGUUAGCCGAGAAAAAUCUCAGCCACAAAGGAGAACCAGCAGAGUCACAACACCUGGAGACUCCCCCUCCCCGCC
rnacentral:lncRNA from 1 species